rnacentral:rRNA from 1 species
UACGUAGGGUGCGAGCGUUAAUCGGAAUUACUGGGCGUAAAGCGUGCGCAGGCGGUUUCGUAAGACAGAGGUGAAAUCCCCGGGCUCAACCUGGGAAUUGCAUCUGUGACUGCAUAGCUAGAGUACGGUAGAGGGGGGGAUGGAAUUCCGCGUGUAGCAGUGAAAUGCGUAGAUAUGCGGAGGAACACCGAUGGCGAAGGCAAUCCCCUGGACCUGUACUGACGCUCAUGCACGAAAGCGUGGGGAGCAAACAGG